rnacentral:rRNA from 1 species
UACGUAGGGUGCGAGCGUUGUCCGGAAUUAUUGGGCGUAAAGGGCUCGUAGGCGGUUUGUCGCGUCGGGAGUGAAAACUCAGGGCUUAACCCUGAGCCUGCUUCCGAUACGGGCAGACUAGAAGGUAUGCAGGGGAGAACGGAAUUCCUGGUGUAGCGGUGAAAUGCGCAGAUAUCAGGAGGAACACCGGUGGCGAAGGCGGUUCUCUGGGCAUUACCUGACGCUGAGGAGCGAAAGUGUGGGGAGCGAACAGG